CGUUCAGCAAACAGUUGUCGGUUAUUUUGCAGCGCUGAGGUUAUCUAUGAUUCUAUCUUUUGGAGAUCGAGAUGACAGAUUCUACUGAUCUAGCUUCAAAUACUAGAAGCAAAGACAACGAUCAACAAAAAAAUUUUAAUCCCAAAAAUCAAUGAGCAUAGUCUUAUUUUAUAAAACUCGACAUCAACACUCUGUGACUACAAACAAGUGGCAGCAAAAAAAAGAUGAUAAUUGUGUAAACUAACAUGUCUAAUAGUUCUCUACAUACUUUCGCCCAGAUGCGAAUUUGGCAGUUUCAAGAUGAAAAAAAAGACAGUGAAAUUAUCUGGAAGUUCCUGAUCUUCAUGCAUUCUGUUGAGCUGAUUUUGGUUGCAGAUAGCAGAGAAUUACGUCCGCCGAGUAAUUGAAAGAAUUGUCUGCUGGUCUGAAUAUUUCUCGGCGUGGUGAGUGACUAUCUGCAUAUUUUUUUUUUAUCGAUUUAUAUUGAUUUUUAUUGAUUUCUUUUGACUCGAGUUGAACUUCUGGGUGCUUAUUUAUUCUAAAACGAGUUCAAUUUUAAAUUUAUUUUAUGAAAACUCGAUCCCUCAGCAAAAUCAUGGGCACAGUUACGAUUUAAAUAUACCGAAAGACCUUAGAAUUUUUUAAUAGGCAGGAAAACAGAGCUUUAGAAUAUUUUGUAGGCAGGAAUAAUUCGGUAUUUAUUUUUGUUAUAAAUCUGGUAGAACUCGUUAUGAAAAAUCGACAUACAGCUAUCUGACUUGCGGUUUUUACAGUAAACUUCCAUCGAAAGAUUUUUUUGAGCUAUCAGGCUCAUAUCACGAAUUCCAAUUUUAAUUAGUGUACUUUUGGCUAUAUAUGUCCUUAAUACAAAAAAUAGAUACAUAUUUACAUCAUUAACGAGAGUUACAUUACCUGUGAAUAUGGCAGAAAUUCAUAUCAGCUGGUCCGUUACCGCAGUUUGAGUUCAGAUCAUUGAAAAAAUUUCUGUUGCUCAUUGUAUAUAAAUUGAAUGAGUCUAGAGGAGUGAAAUUAUUUGUAAAUAUUUAAUAAAGACGAAGAUAAUGCAUUUUGACACUCAAUCCUGAAUUGUCGGAGCUACAGAAUAUCUUUAAGUCGUUGCAAAGAAUUCAAUCUGUUGGCUGUGUAAAUAUUAGAGUGGGCUGUUAAAUAUGAUAAAUAAGAGCAGAGAUUUUAUUCAAUGUACAUAAAAUACAUCCUGAGUCGCUGUUUCCGGUUGCUGGAAGUAGAAAAAUACGUCCGCCGAGGUGAAUUAUUUUAAUUAUCAAUGAAAUUAAUUAAUUUACAUAAAAAUAUAUAUUCUAGUUGAUCAAGAAAUUUAUUAAUCGAGUUGAUAUUUUUUUUUUUUUUACAGAAAUUGAAAGAAUUGUCUGCUGCUCUGGAUGUUUCUCGGCGUGGUGAGUGAUUUUGAG